CAAAUAAUAAAUAAUAAAGCAAGAUUAAAAGCAAGAAAUACAAUUGAAAAAUCGUAAAUAUAUACAGAGAUUUUGUCUUCGGUAUGGCCUAUUCCACAUUGAAAAUUUCGCAACCCGGUAUGGUGGCUACAAUAUUAGUUACAUUCAAAGUGUAUUUGUUGAAUCUUUUGUGCACAGUAUAUGGAUCUGAAAUUUCAUUCUCAUUCACUAGAGGCAUCAUUGGUAAUAUUGAAUCCCUGGCAUGUUAUAUUGGGCUUUGUUUUUUUGUUUAUGGUAUGAAGGGAUAGGAUUAAAGGCUUCGUUCAAAAAAUAUAUCUAAUGUACAGUAGGUAUUCUGCAAUCAAAUUUUGAGUUUGUAGUCUGGUGAAUUUAUCGCACCAUCUAAUUGAGAUCGACAAUUAUCAAGGGAGCUUUCACAUAGAGUAUUAAGAAGCACUAGAGAUAUGGGUCAAAGCAU